CAAAACAAAAGGAAAUUAAAAACAAGGAAACCCUAGGUCUCCCAUUCUUCCUCUUCCUCCCUUCUUCCUUUUAGAGCCGCCGCCCCUUGUCAGUUUUUCGGCCACCCGAUUACCAGGACAACACCUGCGACGGAGUUCCUCCGACGUUCCUGCAGUAGAAAUCUACAAACAACAGCAGUGGCGGCGAGUUCUGCAACAAAAAAUCGACGAAUCGACGCAACGCUCAUGUUUUCGGCGAGAUCCCGCUACCAAAUCAGCAGCAUGAUCUCUGCCCACGAGUGGCGGACUAUCUUCGUCCUCCGGCGUCGGUUUGAUUCCGACCCAAACGACGAUGGAGCGUGACCUCGCUGCAACGGCGGCGCUCGUUCUGCAUAAGAUGACCCCGCAGCGACCCAUGAACCCAUGGCUAGCACACGAACGUAGCAUUCUAGCACUUUAGGCGCUAACCCACACUCUUUUGAUGCUUGGUUUGAGUUACCCACCCCUACAACUUUGUUUCGACGUUGACCCACCCCUAUUCGGACUCAAACUAGAGUUACACAUCGCUUUUCGACAUCGGACCAGCAAGUUAGAGCCUUCUCGAACUCAGUUUUGCAGUGCCGAACCCAUCCGACAUCGAUCCAACAAAGACCCAAAUUGUUUCAACGAGAUUUAGUAGGUCUUGAAUGUUAAGGUGUUAGUGAUGCGUUAGGAUCAUUUUGUAUGAUUAUUCUGGCUAUGGACAAUCAACUGGAAAGGAGUAGCUUGCGGGAGCAAUAUUUUGAGAAAGGAGAAUGUAUAGGGAAGAGUUUCGGCGUAUUUUUGACAUGUACGAGGUUGAUGUAAUGUGAAUAUAGUUCGUUGGGCAUAUUCUCUUAUUGUAGUCAUAGACUUAUAGUAUAGUAUUUGUAUAAAAUAUCCUAAUAUACAAAUUUGAUCAGACUGUGAUCUUAUUAUAUGCAACUUUGUUACAUUUUAUAAUUUACAGAUAUAGAUAAUUUUUUUUGAAA